CCGAGAUAGGGAUGGUGGCUCCGUAGAGCAGUGCGGUUCUUGCGCUGUCCGGUGCGCUCGCGUCGGCCCUUGAAAAUCCGAGUGAGGGAGUGUGAUUUUCGUGCCGGACCGUACCCACAUCCGCAGCAGGUCUCCAAGGUGAACAGCCUCUAGUCGAUGGACCAAUGUAGGUAAGGGAAGUCGGCAAAACGGAUCCGUAACCUUGGGAUAAGGAUUGGCUCUGAGGACUGAGCCGGUCGGGCUGGGGACCUGAAGCAGGAACGGCACUGCACCGGGACUGGGCGGGGCUCGCCGUUGACGCGGCGCGGCCAAGCCCGGACCAGCGUCGGGACCUUCCUGUGGAAAGCCUCAGCUGCGCGGCGUCCGAGGGCUUCGUGCCCAAAGUGCUAUGCUUCGGCCGGCAAAAAACAGUCAACUCAGAACUGGCACGGACCGGGGGAAUCCGACUGUCUAAUUAAAACAAAGCAUUGCGAUGGCCGCUGGUCGGUGUUGACGCAAUGUGAUUUCUGCCCAGUGCUCUGAAUGUCAACGUGAAGAGAUUCAUCAAAGCGCGGGUAAACGGCGGGAGUAACUAUGACUCUCUUGACUAUGACUAUGACUCUCUUGACUUGACUAUGACUCUCGCGAUACCUACUCGCUAAGCGAGAGGUAGAACUCCGACGCGCGGGGUCCAGGU
rnacentral:ncRNA from 1 species